CCUACGGGGGGCAGCAGUCGAGAAUCAUUCACAAUGGGGGAAACCCUGAUGGUGCGACGCCGCGUGGGGGAAUGAAGGUCUUCGGAUUGUAAACCCCUGUCAUGUGGGAGCAAAUUAAAAAGAUAGUACCACACGAGGAAGAGACGGCUAACUCUGUGCCAGCAGCCGCGGUAAUACAGAGGUCUCAAGCGUUGUUCGGAAUCACUGGGCGUAAAGCGUGCGUAGGCUGUUUCGUAAGUCGUGUGUGAAAGGCGCGGGCUCAACCCGCGGACGGCACAUGAUACUGCGAGACUAGAGUAAUGGAGGGGGAACCGGAAGUCUCGGUGUAGCAGUGAAAUGCGUAGAUAGCGAGAGGAACACUCGUGGCGAAGGCGGGUUCCUGGACAUUAACUGACGCUGAGGCACGAAGGCCAGGGGAGCGAAAGGGAUUAGAUACCCGUGUAGUC
rnacentral:rRNA from 1 species